UACGAAGGGGGCUAGCGUUGUUCGGAUUUACUGGGCGUAAAGCGCACGUAGGCGGUUUGUUAAGUGAGAGGUGAAAUCCCAGGGCUCAACUCUGGAACUGCCUUUCAUACUGGCAAGCUAGAGUCCGGAAGAGGUAAGUGGAACUCCUAGUGUAGAGGUGGAAUUCGUAGAUAUUAGGAAGAACACCAGUGGCGAAGGCGGCUUACUGGUCCGGAACUGACGCUGAGGUGCGAAAGCGUGGGGAGCAAACAGG
rnacentral:rRNA from 1 species